GCUUUUCUGGUUUUGCUUUUGUUUGUGGUGGUUGGCAUUGCUGUGGUUUAAUUUUUCUUUUAAAAAGCAGCUUCCCUCUCUGCCUCAGGAACUCGCAGGCCUCUGAAGCAUCGCCUGCAAAGAUUGAAGGCUCUCCCUCAGCUGGGUGGGAGUCCGGACUGAAAGCCUGGAGGAACCCUUUGCAAGCUGUACUCCCUUAUAAGACACAUACUUUUCACCUGGUGACUCUCUUUUCCUGAUUUCGAAGCAUUUCUUCAGGACCUGCAUAUGCCCGAGAGGCAAGCAGUCACCUCUGCGUUGUCAACCACCCCACAAUUAGAGCACGUGGUCACUGACCCAAGGAAGGAAUGAGAAUUCACUAGGUGCUCUGCUUCCAUUCCCACCCCGUUUAUCUCGAUGACGGAUUUCACCAAUCCCACAGAGCACGUUUUACAAAUGAGAGAGCCGUGGCUCAUAGCGUCUGUAUUCGAAUUUGCCUCUUUCUGAACAAAUCAAUAAAACACGCUCUUUCCCACCACCUGACGAUCUGGCUUCUGGAGGUGAGCGCCAGUUCCCUGCCAAGCUUCCCGUUCCUGGGCUUUGGCUCAAGAGAAGGUUACAUUCUUCCGUCCCGUCCCACUGAGCUGGAAACUUACAACUCGAGGAGACAGCACCUCUGUUCCAGAAGCGGGCUUAGACCAAGAACGCCUCCCCUCAUCCCACCUGCUAACUCCACCAUCUGCUGCCGCCAGGAAGCCCGAGCCGCUCGGCACGAAAAGGAGAGAUUCUGGCAAAGUUACUCCAUGUCACUUCCUGGUUUGGUAGAGCCUGGCAUCACCUUUAGUAAGGUAGCCCAUGCCCCCGCUCCUCUUGGCCUCGAUGCAAAACUGGAAAGAACAUUCCAAGGCAAGGGGACCCAGGUUGGCGAGGCUGGUGACAGCAAGAAGGAAGGGUAUGUACACUAGGGGACGUUAGGUGACUUCGCUUUUUCCAGAAAAAAACGAAGGUUAAAUUCAAUUCCCCUUCCUCCCGGUGUUAAUCACUACUCACCGGCGGCGUCUCCUCUAAGGCCCACCUAUCAAAACCUUCUGAGAAAUGACUCGGACUCUUCGUGCAACCCGGAGGCACAGCCUCCUUCAUCCCUUCCCAAUUCAGAGCUGCCAAGAUGCUGCAGUGUUUUGCUUUCAAAGGUCGCGAUUUGAUUUGCCAGACUGCCUGCCAGUCAGAAGUUGGCAGGCAUUUCGCGCAGGCAAGUGGCUGCGAGGAAGGGGAGUGGGCGGGACAGCCCCUGGCAAUUGGCUGCGCUGCAAAGCUUGCUUGAAGCAUAGGGGAGCGACCUGGGGCUAGAGCUUGGCGCUCACCUGGAGCGGGGACCCCCUAGCGGCCACAGGAAGAAUGGUGCGGCGACUCCCCUGCCCCCUCUCCCGCUGUCCCAGAGAGCUUAGGUGGUUGCUCGCCUCCACCUGCCCGGCAGGUGGGCCUGGUUUUAGCAGCCUGCCAGGUGUCCUCCCUUCUUAUCCUCAUAGCCACCUUCCGGGCUUUGCUCCUGCUGUUCCCCUACCCGACGCUCUCACCAAGUAUUCAAAUCCAAAACGUCCUUGAAGACCCAGCGCUCCCCAGAGCCCUCGCGAGACUUGGGGCCAAACAUAUCUCUCCUUUCCUGCCCUCCUGGAACACCUGUCGGAUACCAAGCCUCCCAGCAAUACUGAAGGUCCUGAAACGAGCCCAGCGCUUGGUUAAUGUUUCUAUAAUGUACAUAAUUAUCACGGCCAUGAUAAUUAACAUGCGCAUGGAGUUUUACAGAUGACAAGCUUCUCAUCGCUCACACGUUGUCAUAUACACGCAUUUGCUUUCAGAUCGUCACAGCCAUGAGUGAGACUUGAAGCCCGUUUUACGUAUGAAGAAAUGUCAUUUGGGCCUAGACAUCAACAAUGAGAAAGAGGCAGUUCUAGUCUCAGAUCGUGGGGCAGAGAAAGCUCCUUGGGAACAUGGGAGAGGAACGAGUUGGUGCAUUGUAGAAACUGCCCGAAGGCCAGCAGGGCUGGUGAGAGAUUUUUCUGGGGGCGUGGUUGGGCCUGCGAUCUGAGGGACGGGCCAGGGACAGUUUAUAAAUAACAUAUUUGGGGGCCGGCGCGGUGGCUCACACCUGUAAUCUCAGGACUUUGGGAGGCCAGGAGGAUCACUUAAGCCCAGGAGUUUGAGACCAGCCUGGACAAUAUAGUGGGACCCCAUCUCUACAAAAAAAUUUAAAAAUUAGCCGGGCGUGGCGGCGAGCGCCCGUGGUCCCAGCUACUCAGGAGGCUGAGGCGGGAGGAGCGCUUGAACCCGGGAGGCGGAGGUUGCAGCGAGUCGAGAUCGCGCCACUGCACUCCAGCUGGGCGACAGAGCAAGACCCUGUCAAAAAAAAAAAAAAAAAAAAAAAGCUUGGAUUUCACCCUAAAUUUAAAGGCGAGCCAUUGGAGGACUUUAAGCAGGGGAGUGACAAGGUCGCUGAGACCGCCCUGCCCUGAAGCGUGUGAAGAGGGGCUCCUGGAAUACUAAGUGGCUGCCCUUGUAUAGUCGCCCAUGUCAAUCUUUUUUUUUUUUUUUUUUUUCCUUCUGUUAGAAACAGGGCUUGGGGCCGGGCGUGGUGGCUCACGCCUGUAAUCCCAACACUUUGGGAGGCCGAGGUGGGUGGAUCACCUGAGGUCAGGAGUUCGAGAACAGCCUGGCCAACGUGGUGAAACCCUGUCUCUACUAAAAAUACAAAAAGAAUAGCCUGGCGUGGUGGCGAGCGCCGGUAAUCCCAGCUACUCAGGAGGCUGAGGCAGGAGCAUCGCUUGAACCUGGAGGGCGGAGGUUGCAGUGAGCCAAGAUUGCGCCACUGCACUACAGCCUGGUCGACAAAGCGAGACUCUGUCUCAGAAAAAAAAGAAACAGGGCUAGGUAUAUUCCUUGAAGCAGGAUUUUUGAGUGAGCAAAAUUCUGAGGCUUUUGGUUUAUCACAAGAUUUUUGAAGCAUGGCCUAGAUAAACCUCUUAUUAGUUCUCCACCCCGCUACAGGCCCUGAUGUAAUUAACCUAAGCCCUAAAAUUCGGCCGGCUUCUCUGCGGACUUUGAAACGCCUCUAAUGAUUGGUCAACAACUUUUCACGUUAAAGAAACAGAGGAUGCCAUUGGCUGGAAUUACCUCGCGGACGGCGGAAGGUGGACUCGCGAAUGUUAGGCCUGUGGUUGCCAUAGCGACCGGGAGGUUGGGCUGGCCAGAUUCAGCUGCCGGGACCGGACCAGGUGCUUAGGAGAACACGCAGUAGAACCUUUCAUCAAACAAAUGGAACACAUCACAGGAUUUUGCUAACAUGGACAACUCUGCACAGAAAAAUGAACGCACUGGCAAACAUCCCAGACGUGCCAGUGAAGUACAGAAAGGCCAAGGAGCAGUGAGGACGCUUCCUCUGUCCUGACCGCGCCUCGUCCAGGCUGCUCCCAGAAUAGUUUUGCUGUCUCCUUCCUGCCUGGCAAGAAUGUCUUUACUAUCAUCUCCUUCCUUUUCUCCGGGACAGCCUGUUUAAGGUUUUACUGCUGCAUAUCCAACACAAUCCUCCAUUCCUUUUAAAUCUCAAGCUUCAGUAAUCCCAGAAUCAGAAAAAAAAGGAUUCAAUAGUCAAGCCAAGAGAUUUCCUCAUAAGAAGAAUGAUAUCCCAGGACCUGGGUUCUACAAUGUUAUUCACCAGUCACCGGUGUCCAACAGUGUCUCAUUGUCCAAGAAAGGAACUUGCAUGUUUCCCUCAAUGUGCGCCCGAUUGGACACCAUCAUUUCUAAAUACCCUGCAGCGAACGCAUACACUAUCCCAUCGGAUUUUAUUUCCAAGAGAGACUUUAGUAAUUCAUGUUCCAGCAUGUUCCAGUUGCCAAGCUUUAUGAAAGCUCUCAAAUUUGAAACUCCUGCACCAAACUAUUACAAUGCCUCUGUCUCUUGCUGCAAGCAGAGAAACAACGUCUGUGCUCGAGCCGGGUUUAUGUCAAAAACCCAAAGAGGAUCUUUCGCUUUUGCUGAUAAAGGACCUCCCCCAGGGCAUUAUGAUAUCAACGAAUCCCUUGUGAAGCAGUCGCCAAAUACAUUAAUGUCUUGUUUUAAAUCAAAAACCAACCGUGGAUUAAAACUGACGUCAACAGGCCCGGGACCUGGUUAUUACAACCCCAGUGAUUGCACAAAAGUUCUAAAAAAGACUCUUUUCCCGAAAAACCCCAUCCUGAACUUCUCUGCUCAGCCUUCGCCUCUGCCUCCAAAGCCACCUUUCCCGGGUCCUGGUCAGUAUGAGAUCGUGGACUACUUAGGCCCCCGCAAGCAUUUCAUCUCUAGUGCAUCAUUCGUGUCCAAUACCAGCCGGUGGACAGCGGCGCCGCCUCAGCCAGGCCUGCCUGGCCCAGCUACGUACAAGCCAGAGCUUCCAGGAAAGCAGUCCUUCCUCUACAACGAGGACAAGAAAUGGAUCCCGGUUCUGUAGGGAUGUCACACAAGGUCAAGGAGAACUCCAGCCACCAGCCCACCCUGCCCAGCGUCCCCAGGACAUUCCUCAGGAGGAGACCGAUCUUGAGUGUGGCAGCUGACAACUUGGGGGGUGGCCCUACCACUCUGGCCUGGCAUCCUAGCCGGACUGCUGCCAUUGCCUUUGUCUUGAGCUGGAGACAUUGCUCCCUGGAGACUUCACCCCAGCCCCACAGACUCCAGUGGCUUCCUGAGCAGAAGGGAGGAGUGGACAGAGCCCCCUGGCUGCUUCCCCACGCACCCAUCCAGGCUGCCUUCCGGCACGACUCCCUGCCGCAGACUGAAGGGACUCCUGAAGCGCAGACUUCAAGGAGGAUCAGUCCACCCUGAAGGUGGCCAAGCCUGGAAGCCCCACCCUUCCCUGUUUCAUUCCUUCAUUCAUUUACGCAUUCAUUCAUUCCCUCACUCCUGCCUUUCUCAUUUGUCCCUUUCUGACCUCACUCACUUACGGUAUGUCUACUGGGCGAAAGCUACCUGCAGGCAGGUGAUGCUUUUUCCACCAGUCCACAGCUUCCUUUCUAAAGUGACCACCUGUUUGGAAAGACCUCUCUUUACUCCUUUUAGACCUUUUUCUCUUUGGAGUGGGAGAUCAUCUUGGAAUGGCAGUGGCCGGGCCCGGGGGCUGCGCUUUUCCCUGACUUUCUCUGCUGGCGGGACUGAAUUUUCUCAAGGCUUACAGGCCCUUCCAUGGAGUCCACAUGGCCUGUCUAGGCCUGAUAGCUUUUGUCUCUCUAUGUGGAGGGAAAAAGAAAUGUGCCCUAGUGGUUUUGGUGGAGGCUGCACAGAUUCGCGGUGGGUGGGGAGCUGCCAGGCUCCUUUUCUGAUCUCCCAGCGGGCUUUGACUGACGCUGUUAAGUCUCUCUGUACAUUAACCCCGCCAGAUACUGAGAGGUUACAAAGCCUCCAAGGCCUGUACAACUGUGGCCUCUCCAGAGAAGUGGUUCUCAGCCUUGACUGCACACUGUAAUCACCUGGGGACUUUAAAAAGUACUGAGGCCUGGGGCCCACCCACAAAUGCUGAUUUAACUCCUCCAGGGUGGGGUCUGGGCAGGGGGUAGGGGGGGGAGGCAGGAGCCACCCAGGUGAUUCCAAUGAUAGGUGUAGGUUGAGAAGCGCCACCUUCCAGCUUCCUAACUGGCUCUGGGAGGGGAGCUGGGUGGGAAGUUCAGGAGGUGGGAACUUUGUACACGCAGAGCACCUGGAGCACCUACAGCAUGGCUGUGGUUCCACACUCCUCUGUCAUUUAACCUUCACGCAUCACCUCGUUCUGACAUCAAGGGUGCGUCACAGCCACAGUGAGGCCUGGCCUGGGCAGAGCAACUCUGGGUGCCCCACUGGGUCCCUCCCACAGGGGCAGGCAAGCCUAAUGGGAACGCGAGUCAAAAGGAAACAUCAGUAAUACGAAUCCUGUCUUUAAAACUGUGAUGUUUUGUUCACCGUGGAUUUUUUUUGGGGGGGGGCUUAAUUUUAAAAAUAUUGCAUUAAACUUAUUUAUCUUGCU
rnacentral:sRNA from 1 species